CAGCAGCCGCGGUAAUACGAAGGUGGCAAGCGUUGUUCGGAUUUACUGGGCGUACAGGGAGCGUAGGCGGUUGGAUAAGCCCUCCGUGAAAUCUCCAGGCUUAACCUGGAAAGUGCAGAGGGGACUGUUCAGCUAGAGGAUGGGAGAGGUGCGCGGAAUUCCCGGUGUAGCGGUGAAAUGCGUAGAGAUCGGGAGGAAGGCCGGUGGCGAAGGCGGCGCUCUGGAACAUUUCUGACGCUGAGGCUCGAAAGCGUGGGGAGCAAACAGGAUUAGAUACCCUGGUAGUCCACGCCUUAAACGAUGGAUACUAAGUGUCGGCGGGUUACCGCCGGUGCCGCAGCUAACGCAGUAAGUAUCCCGCCUGGGAAGUACGGCCGCAAGGUUGAAACUCAAAUGAAUUGACGG
rnacentral:rRNA from 1 species